UUUAAGGUCGGACCUGCCCAAUGAGAAGUUGAAUGGCCGCAGUAUUUUGACUGUGCAAAGGUAGCAUAAUAAUUAGUUUUUUAAUUGAAAGCUUGAAUGAAUGGUUUGACGAGAAAAUAACUGUCUUUAAUUUAUUAUUUAAAAUUUUAUUUUUAAGUAAGAAAGCUUAAAUUUAUUUAAAAGACGAGAAGACCCUAUAGAAUUUUACUUAUUAGGGGUUAAUUUUAUAUGGGUAGGUAAGUUUAAGUUUUAUAAUUAUUAAUAAGUUUUAUUGGGGCGGUAUAAAAAUUAAAAUAACUUUUUAUUAUUUUUACAUUUAUAGAUGAUUUGAUGAUCCAUAGUUUUAUGAUUAAAAGAUUAAAUUACCUUAGGGAUAACAGCGUAAUUUUUUUUGAGAGUUCUUAUUUACAAAAGAGUUUGCGACCUCGAUGUUGGAUUAAAAUUAACUUUUGGUGUAGGGGCUAUUGGGUUAGGUCUGUUCGACCUUUAAAAUUUUACA
rnacentral:rRNA from 1 species